ensembl:lncRNA
AAUCUAGACAGAUUUUUAACCAUUUAGUAAUCUCUGAUUGGAUUAACAGGUUACCUGGAGUAACAGUUUGUGUUUCCCCAAAAGUUUGAGUGAAGAGCAAAAUAAACAUGUAUACAUAAAAGAAGUGGGGGGUUGACCUGUUGGGUACCUCAGUUCAACUUCUCAUUAAAAAGCCUGAUUGGAAACACCUGCCCGUAGGAAGGACCUAUAAAGACAGCAGCAUGUCCUAAACACGUAACUCAGAUGUACACUGGUGUUUGGUUGGAGUAGCUGGUGUGUGUGGACCUGUGGAAGUGUGAGUGCUUUGCAUGCACAGUCCAGCUGGAGGGUUUGUGAGGACAGUGAGUGCAGCUACUGGAGUCAUGGUUGCUCGGUUGUUAAUUGCAAGGUUUUUACUGCUUUAUGUUUUGAGUGAUGUGAACUAUUCCUCGGCUUUUCCAAGAGCCACAAGUUCUGUGCAGCCUAGAGCAUGGCAGGGUGGAAGAGGGGAACAAGAUGUGUAUGGAAAUCCUCGUCCUUUCCAGUACAUGAGGGCUCUGAGGCCGACGGAUCCAAUGAUCUACCCUAACGUGCGUGAUCAGGUUCAAGUCGAAUCCCCAACAUCAUAUCUUCCACGCUCUAAUAUUCCUACCCACAGACCCAUGGAAACAUCUCUGCUCCAGCCACGAGCACACAGAAACCAUCUUGUGGCCAAGCCCAGGAGCUUUAACAUAAGCCUGAGGAUUCCUUUUGCUCACACUCGUGAUGGUGCUUAUCGUCCUCGGUACGGACCAAGCGGCCUUAUUAUUGACAACAGUUUUAAUAAUCCCCGCAGAGACCAUGCCCAUGAUCCUUCAAACCUGGGCUACCAGUUCAGCUUAUACGUUCCCUUUUCACGUGGUUCUCCACGCCCCCCAGGUGGCCAGGAACAUCACGGUGGACGUCGACACAGGCCUGAGAAAGACGAUUUGGGUCGUCAAACAGAGCACUUGCCAGUUCAUACAAGGCCGUACCCUGACCAGCAUCGUGAGGAUCACGAGCAUCGUGAUGAAGGCCGCCUGCAGGAGUUUGCAUUUCCAAAGCCAGAUGGACCAGAACACCCAUCAAGGCUGCGUCAUCCUCAAAGAUAUGUCGACCCUUACAGUGGCUACUACAACUCCCAGAUGAAUCCUACGUGGAAUGACUACUGGUGGCAUUACCGUGGACCUCACUGGGGUCAUGUAAAGCAUCAGUCUUCUGACCCUUGGCCAAAUUUCCAUCGGUCAGCUUCAGACUGGCAUGGAUGGAAGAGAUGACCCAAACUCACAGGGCAGAGCUCUGCAGUGCAAGAAGGAUGAUUUCCUGUAUUUAAAAUAAAGUGAAAGCUCUUCUGUAGUUUCUUUUGUCAGGUUGUCUGAAAGAAUAGCUGAACAUUUGGGUUGAGGUUAAUUUUCAAGAGCUAAUGACCACUCAUGUCUGAGUCUUGUCCUCAUAAGCAAGAAGCAACAAGUCUAUGCCCAAAUGUUAGAAAGCCGUUGAAUCUGAUUUUGACUAAAUAUUUUGGUGAUGUGCAUUUUGAGCUAAGUCCAGUCGUCAGUUUCACUUGAGCUGUAUCUGCACCAUUAAAAGUAUCCCAGACUUUAAACUGAAUCAAUGUCCCGUCCUUCAAUAGUUGCUUGUAUAUUAACAUUUUGGAACUUCAGUUGAGUGCUUUCCAUGAGAUUGCUUUUAAUAUUGCUAUAAUCUCUUGUUGUACAAGAUUAUAUCUGCUAUAAAACGAACAGAAAUUAAUAAUGAACUUAGGAAAAACUGAUGAUGGAAACGGUUUCUCCAACUUCAUCCACUACUGUUCACUUCUUUCGCAGGUUUUGGACUGUAGCUCUAUUAAUCUAUCAAGUUAUUUAGCUUGACUGCUUUGUCUUUAUUUUUCUCUGCUUUGAGCACUGGAUCACCACUUAAAAAAACAAACAAACAAACAAACAAACAAAAAAAACAAAACAGAAGUUUCCAAACUAAGAGUUUCAAUUGAAAGUGUCAAAAGCCUCAACAGAUCAGCAAAGGUGAUAAAAGUACAGACAUCCUAUACUUAAGAGUACAGAUACUGGUGUUAAAUACUCAAGUAAAAGUUAAUAUACUGAUUCAACUCCUUUACCCAAGUAAAGGUAAUAAAAAUAGGCUCUGAAAAGUACCAAAAGUAAAAGCUCUGAUGUAAUGUAUUAAUCAUAUUUCUAAAUGAGGAUUUCAAAUUACUUAAAAUUUUAAUUCUAAUAAAUGCAUUCAGCUUAUUAAUCCACAUUUCAGUUUUACACAAUGCAGAUGUGGAUACUGUAUUCUCUUUGGAUUUUUUUUUUUCUCUCCCCUGGUUUUUAGUUUACCUUCUAUAGCCACCACUUGCUUCCCUGACAGAAAUGUGGUUCAACCUGUUCAAACCUGCCUAGUUUUUUGUGUGGUUUUUUUUUUUUUUAAUAUUUAGCAUUUUUUCGAAUGGAAUUUGAAUACUUUCCUACAGGUUUCCUGUAUACCUCUUGUAUGUCACUUGUUCAGACACUGUUUUGUUGCUUUCCUGCUGAGUAUGGAGUUUGCCCACAGGAACAUAAAAGUUCACAACACCUGCGUUCUUGCACUUUACACAUGCAGUCAAUAGAAUAGGGAGUUUGUGUUGGUGAAAUGUCUCACAGUUGCAAAGAAGGAAGCAGUUUUAGACCCUUUCAGCCUCCACUUCGACUGCCAGGUCAAACCAUUUUCUAUGCUGGUCACACUUUUAUCUUUUGGACUGUGUUAAUCUGAUUUAAUUUGGUUUUGUUUCUUGCCUCCCAUGUGUCCAUGUUGUUUGUAUGUUGGCCUCUCCAGCUGCUGCAGCAGUGGGUGGGCACAUCUACGGCCCCCGACAGAGCAGUUGGGCGAGCACCUCCACAUCGCUUUGGUCUGACCCCACUUUUUGUCUGCUUCCUUCUUAGCUGGAAUAUGGUCAGAGGAUGAGGAGGCAGAAUAAAGGGACAGAAAUAUCUUCUAAAGGUUUUGAUAAGUCUGGUGUGGCUGAGAAAAGUGCAGCCUCAUGUCUUUAGUAAAUCUAAAGACUCUAUAGCACCCCCAAGAGGCUGAAAUGUUUAUUACAAUGAAUGAGCACUUUUAAACAUGCAAUUAUUCAAGCUGUUACACAGUAUUACUGUUUAUGACCAAAAUGAGGUUGCAUGGAAGAAACUGUCUUCUAUGGUGUCACCAAUGAAUGCAUCUGUGUGAUAUUUUCAGACUGCUUAAAAGUCGAACAAAUUACUGUACAUUAGUGUUUUCCAUUUUAUGCUUUUCAGUAAAACACAUUUAUGGAAUCUUUUCCCUCUACGAUUCAAAUUAAAGAUACUAGUCAGCUAAUCAUCUGAAUAUUGUACUGUACACACUUGAAUCCUUGAAUUUAAGCACUGAGGCUAAAGCAUAAAAAAAGGUAUACUUAAGAUGCAUUCAAGUUCAACUGUACAGUUCUAGUUUUUGUCCAACUAAAUGUCCCAAGAGCAGGAAAAAUCAAGGCUAAAUAAUUAAAUCGGUAAAUGUCACAGUAAAUAAAAUGAAUUUUGAUUUAUUUUAUGUUACAAUUUAUCAACAGAGUGGAGGAAAUGAAAACAAGAAAUCUUUGCAGUUUUUAAUCACAGAAUAUAUUCGUCACCAUCAGUGUAGCUAAAUAAAAUGUUAUUGUGAAUGACAUGAUCCACUGACAAAAAUCCAACUAUAAUGAAAUAAAAUGUGUGAUUAAGGAGAACAAUUUACAA